AUGGUAACCAGCAGACAGACCUGAGAGAAGCAAGGCUGCAGAGAAACUGUAGCCAUCACCAAACAACAAAUCAAAGGGAAGUGUCUCAGGAGAGAUUUCUAAUUAUCAUACAUUUGUCCUUGCAGCCAAACCAGGAUGCAGUGGAAAAUGGUGCCUUUGGCACUAGCAUCUUAGGUCACAAAAUCAGUUGUCUUGAAAUUCUUACUAACUUUUGAACGUGGAACCCUACAUCUUCAUUUUGUACUGGUCCCCACAUAUUUUAUAGCUAAUCUGAAGGAGGAGAGAGAGAUGAUGGGGGAUGAAGGGUAUGGGAUUGUAUGCUAUGGCUGCCUGCUGUCAAAGUUCUCCAGCCUCCCAAAUGUCCACAUAGAUAGUAUCAACCCUCAAUGCAAAUUAUAAGAAUGUUAUAUUAAAAUGUAAUAAAAAGUGACCAAGCUGAUCUAAACCCCACAACAGCAUGAAUAGUUUCCAUUUAUCUAGCAUUUAGUUCACUCCUAAAUG